UACGGAGGGUGCAAGCGUUGUCCGGAAUCACUGGGCGUAAAGGGCGCGUAGGCGGCCUGGUAAGUAGGGGGUGAAAUCCUGCGGCUUAACCGCAGGGCUGCCUUCUAAACUGUCAGGCUUGAGCACGGUAGAGGCAGAUGGAAUUCCCGGUGUAGCGGUGGAAUGCGUAGAGAUCGGGAGGAAUACCUAUGGCGAAAGCAGGCUACUGGACCGUCACUGACUCUGAUCUGCGAAAGCUAGGGGAGCAAACAGG
rnacentral:rRNA from 1 species